ensembl:snRNA U6 U6 spliceosomal RNA
UUGCUUGGGCAACACCAGUAGUAAAAUUGGAAUGAUACAGGGAAGGUUACCAUAGCCCUUGCACAAAGAUGACAUGCAGGUUCAUGACACAUUACAUAUUUUA